rnacentral:rRNA from 1 species
AUAAGCAAUUAUACAGCGAAACUGCGAAUGGCUCAUUAUAUAAGUUAUCGUUUAUUUGAUAGUACCUUACUACUUGGAUAACCGUGGUAAUUCUAGAGCUAAUACAUGCUAAAAAUCCCGACUUCGGAAGGGAUGUAUUUAUUAGAUUAAAAACCAAUGCCCUUCGGGGCUCCUUGGUGAUUCAUGAUAACUCCUCGAAUCGCAUGGCCUUGUGCCGGCGAUGGUUCAUUCAAAUUUCUUCCCUAUCAACUUUCGAUGUUUGGGUAUUGGCCAAACAUGGUUGCAACGGGUAACGGAGGGUUAGGGCUCGACCCCGGAGAAGGAGCCUGAGAAACGGCUACUACAUCCAAGGAAGGCAGCAGGCGCGCAAAUUACCCAAUCCCGACACGGGGAGGUAGUGACAAUAAAUACUGAUACAGGGCUCUUUUGGGUCUUGUAAUUGGAAUGAGUACAAUUUAAAUCCCUUAACGAGGAACAAUUGGAGGGCAAGUCUGGUGCCAGCAGCCGCGGUAAUUCCAGCU